UACGUAGGGUGCGAGCGUUGUCCGGAAUUACUGGGCGUAAAGAGCUCGUAGGCGGUAGUUCAAGUCAGGUGUGAAAUCCGACGGCUUAACCGGAGGACUGCACCUGAUACUGGGCUGCUAGAGGUAAGGAGAGGAAGGUGGAAUUCCCGGUGUAGCGGUGAAAUGCGUAGAGAUCAGGAGGAACACCGAUGGCGAAGGCAGCCCCCUGGGCCUGUACUGACGCUCAUGCACGAAAGCGUGGGGAGCAAACAGG
rnacentral:rRNA from 1 species